rnacentral:tRNA from 1 species
AAUUAGAGAGCUUGUAAAUAAGCAUCUGGCUUUUAAUCAGAAGAAACCAUAAUGGUUCUAGUUA